rnacentral:lncRNA from 1 species
CUCAGCCUUUUUAGAGAGACUCAAAGAGGCCUAUCGCAGGUACACUCCUUAUGACCCUGAGGACCCAGGGCAAGAAACCAAUGUGUCUAUGUCAUUCAUCUGGCAGUCUGCCCCGGAUAUCGGGCGAAAGUUAGAGCGGUUAGAAGAUUUAAAGAGCAAGACCUUAGGAGACUUAGUGAGGGAAGCUGAAAAGAUCUUUAAUAAGCGAGAAACCCCGGAAGAAAGAGAGGAACGUAUCAAGAGAGAAACAGAGGAAAAAGAAGAACGCCGUAGGGCAGAGGAUGAGC